rnacentral:rRNA from 1 species
UACAGAGGGUGCGAGCGUUAAUCGGAAUUACUGGGCGUAAAGGGUGCGUAGGUGGUUUGCUAAGUAACGUGUGAAAGUCCUGAGCUUAACUUGGGGAUUGCAUGUUAAACUGGCAGGCUAGAGUGUUGUAGAGGAUAGCGGAAUUUCCGGUGUAGCGGUGAAAUGCGUAGAUAUCGGAAGGAACACCAGUGGCGAAGGCGGCUAUCUGGACAACAACUGACACUGAGGCACGAAAGCGUGGGGAGCAAACAGG